GUGAUGAUUCGCUCACCCCCUACUGACCAGGAGAUGAGCCAAGCCGCCCCGCCUCGCUACCUCCGAGACCUCUUGAGGCCUACCUCUCCUCUGAAGACCCAGUGAGGGUGGCGCUCAAUCAGAGAGCUGUUGAGGGACUGGUUAGGAAGAACACUACUACAGCCAGUGAGGCGCAGUCAAGAAAUGGAACGGCAAGGCCACAGAAUAUGACAUACGCAGAGCUGUGGGAGACCACCUCAAGCAUGUCCCUAGUAGAGAAGGGGGUAGUGUUUACCCAGUGGUGUAAAGUACUUAAGUAGUACUUUAAAGCAUUUUUACUUAA